rnacentral:rRNA from 1 species
GUCGAGAAUCAUUCGCAAUGGGCGAAAGCCUGACGAUGCGACGCCGUGUGAACGAUGAAGGCCUUCGGGUUGUAAAGUUCUUUCGCCUACGAACAAGAGAGACUGACAAAUAAUCAGUUAAUUUGAGGGUAGUAGGUAAAGAAGCACCGGCUAACUCCGUGCCAGCAGCUGCGGUAAUACGGAGGGUGCAAGCAUUAAUCGGAUUUAUUGGGCGUAAAGGGCGCGUAGGCGGGAAAGUCAGUCAGAUGUGAAAGCCCAGGGCUCAACCCUGGAACAGCAUUUGAAACUACUUUUCUAGAGGGUAGGCGGAGAAAACAGAAUUCCACGUGUAGCGGUGAAAUGCGUAGAUAUGUGGAGGAAUACCGGUGGCGAAGGCGGUUUUCUAGCUUAUUCCUGACGCUAAUGCGCGAAAGCAAGGGGAGCAAACAGGAUUAGAUACCCCGGUAGUCC